rnacentral:lncRNA from 1 species
CUUACCAGUAAAAGAUAGGCUAAUUGAGCGGGGCAUGACAAUCAGUGGAGAAUAUGAGCUCUGCAAUCGUGAAUAAGAAUCGAUUGACCAUCUAUUUGCCAAAUGCGAAUUCACAAAAUGGGUUCUGAAUGAGGCAAUGGAAGCCGUCAGAGCGCUGGUUAAACUGGAAGCAGUGACCAACUUUGAGGAAGCCGCUAAGGAACUCAACAAGGUGACAUCGGGCUCGCCAACGUGUGGG